rnacentral:rRNA from 1 species
UGCGUAGGCGGAUAGAUAAGUCAGAGGUGAAAGCCUCCCGCUCAACGGGAGAACUGCCUUUGAUACUGUUUAUCUUGAAUGAGGUUGAGGUUAGCGGAAUGUGACAUGUAGCGGUGAAAUGCAUAGAUAUGUCAUAGAACACCAAUUGCGUAGGCAGCUAGCUAAGCCUUUAUUGACGCUGAGGCACGAAAGCAUGGGGAGCGAACAGGAUUAGAUACCCUGGUAGUCC